AGCAGCCGCCACGGUAAUACGUAGGUCCCGAGCGUUGUCCGGAUUUAUUGGGCGUAAAGGGAGCGCAGGCGGUUUAGUAAGUCUGAAGUUAAAGGCAUUGGCUCAACCAAUGUAUGCUUUGGAAACUGUUAGACUUGAGUGCAGAAGGGGAGAGUGGAAUUCCAUGUGUAGCGGUGAAAUGCGUAGAUAUAUGGAGGAACACCGGUGGCGAAAGCGGCUCUCUGGCUUGUAACUGACGCUGAGGCUCGAAAGCGUGGGGAGCAAACAGGAUUAGAUACCCCUGUAGUCCCUGUCUCUUAUACA
rnacentral:rRNA from 1 species